rnacentral:lncRNA from 1 species
AUGGCCUUUUCCUGGAGGAGACAGAGGCCAGGUGGUGCCCGCCAGCAAAACCAAACGAGUAUUGCAGUGGAGCAGGGGAGCUCAUGUGGCAAACAUGUACAGGUGAAGAGCUGGCUUACAUCUCCUCCACAACCUGCCGCCUCCUUUCCCCUGCACCAGGGUUGUCAUUCUGCAAGCAGGAAUGUACUUGGGUUCACACAGUUUAUGUCUCCAGUCCAGCUGUGUGUCUUGGAGGAUGUCGUUGCACCAGGUUCCUCAUUUAUAAAAUGAAGGACUAGACUUCACACCCUUUGCGGCACCACAGUCUGCAGAUGCUAAAUAAAGUUGUAAUGAAAGUGAAGGAAAUUGGCUCCUGUGUCAGAGUGCUUGUUGUUACUGAUGUCAGAGACGAGCUCACCAGGAAUUCCCUGGCUGUCCAGUGGUUAGGACACUGCACUUGUACUUCAGGGGGCACAGGUUUGAUCCUUGGUCUGAGAACUAAGAUCCUGUAUGCCACGUGGCAUGUCCACUCCCCUCCCCAAAGUAUAUAUAGAUAAGCACCAACAGUCCAU